rnacentral:rRNA from 1 species
UACGUAGGGUCCGAGCGUUGUCCGGAAUUAUUGGGCGUAAAGGGCUCGUAGGCGGUUCGUCACGUCGGGAGUGAAAACUCGGGGCUUAACCCCGAGCCUGCUUCCGAUACGGGCAGACUAGAGGUAGGCAGGGGAGAGCGGAACUCCUGGUGUAGCGGUGGAAUGCGUAGAGAUCGGGAAGAACACCCGUGGCGAAGGCGACAUGCUGGGUUGCACCUGACGCUGAGUUGCGAAAGUGUGGGGAGCAAACGGG